rnacentral:rRNA from 1 species
GCAUCGAUGAAGAACGCAGCAAAAUGCGAUACUUGGUGUGAAUUGCAGAAUCCCGUGAACCAUCGAGUCUUUGAACGCAAGUUGCGCCCGGAGCCUUCGGGCCGAGGGCACGCCUGCCUGGGCGUCACGCCUAG